rnacentral:rRNA from 1 species
CUCCGCCGGCGACCGGCGCACGGGUGAGUAACACGUAUGCAACCUGCCCCUGUCAGGGGGACAACCCGCCGAAAGGCGGGCUAAACCCGCGUACAUGCCACCGGGGCAUCCCGGAGGCAGGAAAGGCUUCGGCCGGACAGGGAUGGGCAUGCGGCGCAUUAGGCAGUAGGCGGGUAACGGCCCACCUAACCGACGAUGCGUAGGGGUUCUGAGAGGAAGGUCCCCCACACUGGUACUGAGACACGGACCAGACUCCUACGGGAGGCAGCAG